UCGAGACCGAGACCGUUUCUCCUCGGGCAACGAGGAGUUUCAGUUGCAAAAGUGUUGCGGUACAAGUCGGACGACUAGAGGUGCGCGUGCAGUUCGUCUCCCAGCGGUCUGUGGCGGACGGACCGGACUGCCGUAAUUCAUUCUACGACCGUUUACGCCGACAAUCGUGUCAAAUCGAUUUUGCGAUCGUCAGCCGGAACGGCGGUUCCGGUGUAUAACCUGUGCUACCGUACACCAUGCGUGAAAACGUGUCUGCUAACUAUCGCGGUGACCCAAGGGCGACCCGAGCCUAACAUCUAAGGCAUUCGGUUGUGGUCCAUAGACGUGUCGUUCGCUCUUGCUCUCCCAGGACAGCUCUCUCGCUCUCUCGUACCCGUACACCAAAUACACUCUGCGGACUGCAGAUAAACCAGCAGACGGUUGGACGCCUUCCCGAAACCGAAGGUAGCAAACGAAAAACGGGCAAAAAACGGAAGCAGAUAAAAGUAACACAACAACAACAACAACUGAGGUGAACCCAAAACCUUCUCGGCUACCAAAACAACUUGUCGACGUUCAGUUCUCGGUGGAAAACAAACUCCAAAGUGUUCUGUACUGCAGUGUUUUCCUCUUCGGGAGUGUUGUUUUUGCUUUUUUGUUGUUGGUGAAUUUAGGAGACUGUCUCCUAGUGAGCUUUGCUGCAGUGUGUCAAAAAGGUGGGGAGGAGGAGGAGUGCAAAGUAAGAGUGAGAAAGGGAAGGGUGUGUGUGUGUGUGUGUGUGCGCGUGUUAGCCGUGUGUCUGAUGUUUGUGGGCACGUGAGCGUAUGUUCCGUGCUGUCAGCGGAAGCGAUUGAUGAUGCGGUGACCAGUUUUUGCUGACCCUUUUGCGUGACCCUUUCGUGACACGGUUGAGGUGAAAAAAGCCAUAACAGCUGGGUACGAUGCCUGUCGCACCUGCACUGCACACAGCAACCUGAUGCAGUGCUAUUCAUCAUCACCGAACGGUGUGAUUAUCGCUAAGGUUGUGAGCAAGCGUACGUGUAAGUGUGUCCUGGUGGAGUUUAAGAGUUCCCCUAGAUGAAUCCCACGCUUGCAGUGAAAUCAAGCGUCCAUAAUGAAGUGCACCUGUGCGUGGUAAUGGUGCAAUACAGUGCAAACAGUGCUUCAGAAUAGUGUUUAUUCGAUUGUUGUUACCGUCCGUACAAGCAGCUCUCUCGAUAGGAAUAACACAUAGCCAACAGUUACCAGCAGUGUUGCAGAGCGAAAGGUAUCCCGUACCGUAGCUGGAAAAAUAGCCUCAUCCGGCCGACCACCAACUCAACUCAACGCGAUCGGCAAAUUUUCGGUCGGCUACACAAGACCACCGCCUCCUAAACCGGCCGUUCUGAAAGUUCGAUCGAUUUGGUGUGCCCGAUGUGAACAA